rnacentral:rRNA from 1 species
GAUCAUGGCUCAGGAUGAACGCUAGCUACAGGCUUAACACAUGCAAGUCGAGGGGCAGCAUGAACUUAGCUUGCUAAGUUUGAUGGCGACCGGCGCACGGGUGAGUAACACGUAUCCAACCUUCCGUUUACUCAGGGAUAGCCUUUCGAAAGAAAGGUUAAUACCUGAUAGUAUGGUGAGAUUGCAUGAUAACACCAUUAAAGAUUUAUUGGUAAACGAUGGGGAUGCGUUCCAUUAGGUAG